GCUUUGAUCGCGCAGAUGUCCGAAUGGGGAAACCCGGCCCGAAUGGGUCAUCUGUUACUGAAUUCAUAGGUAACAGAGGCGAACGCAGUGAACUGAAACAUCUAAGUAGCUGCAGGAAAAGAAAUCAACCGAGAUUCCCAAAGUAGUGGCGAGCGAAAUGGGAUCAGCCUUGUACUCUUUAGCAGUAUUGUUAGCAAAACGGAAUGGAAAGUCCGGCCAUAGUGGGUGAUAGCCCCGUAUGCGAAAACAGUAUUGUGGAACUAGGUGUACGACAAGUAGGGCGGGACACGUGAAAUCCUGUCUGAAGAUGGGGGGACCAUCCUCCAAGGCUAAAUACUCGUGAUCGACCGAUAGUGAACCAGUACCGUGAGGGAAAGGCGAAAAGAACCCCGGGAGGGGAGUGAAAUAGAUCCUGAAACCGCAUGCAUACAAACAGUCGGAGCCUGGAAACGGGUGACGGCGUACCUUUUGUAUAAUGGGUCAGCGACUUACAUUCAGUGGCAAGCUUAACCGAUUAGGGAAGGCGUAGCGAAAGCGAGUCCGAAUAGGGCGUUCAGUCGCUGGGUGUAGACCCGAAACCAAGUGAUCUAUCCAUGGCCAGGUUGAAGGUGCGGUAACACGUACUGGAGGACCGAACCCACUAACGUUGAAAAGUUAGGGGAUGAGCUGUGGAUAGGGGUGAAAGGCUAAACAAACUUGGAAAUAGCUGGUUCUCUCCGAAAACUAUUUAGGUAGUGCCUCGUGUCUCACCUUCGGGGGUAGAGCACUGUCAUGGUUGGGGGGUCUAUUGCUGAUUACCCCGCCAUAGCAAACUCCGAAUACCGAAGAGUGCAAUCACGGGAGACAGACAUCGGGUGCUAACGUCCGGUGUCAAGAGGGAAACAACCCAGACCGCCAGCUAAGGUCCCUAAGAUUGGCUAAGUGGGAAACGAAGUGGGAAGGCUAAAACAGUCAGGAGGUUGGCUUAGAAGCAGCCACCCUUUAAAGAAAGCGUAAUAGCUCACUGAUCGAGUCGUCCUGCGCGGAAGAUGUAACGGGGCUAAGCCAGUCACCGAAGCUGCGGAUGCACGUAAGUGCAUGGUAGGAGAGCGUUCUGUAAGCCUGUGAAGGUGUCUUGUGAAGGAUGCUGGAGGUAUCAGAAGUGCGAAUGCUGACAUGAGUAGCGAUAAAGGGGGUGAAAGGCCCCCUCGCCGUAAGCCCAAGGUUUCCUACGCAACGUUCAUCGGCGUAGGGUGAGUCGGCCCCUAAGGCGAGGCAGAGAUGCGUAGCUGAUGGGAAGCAGGUUAAUAUUCCUGCACCGUCGUAUGAUGCGAUGGGGGGACGGAUCGCGGAAGGUUGUCCGGGUGUUGGAUGUCCCGGUCCCUACAUUGGAGAUGGCACUUAGGCAAAUCCGGGUGCGUGAUUCAAGGGUGUGGGGCGAGCGACUUUAGGUCGCGAAGCAAUUGGAAGUGGUUCCAAGAAAAGCCUCUAAGCUUCAGUCAUACGAGACCGUACCGCAAACCGACACAGGUGGGCGAGAUGAGUAUUCUAAGGCGCUUGAGAGAACUCGGGAGAAGGAACUCGGCAAAUUGGUACCGUAACUUCGGGAUAAGGUACGCCCUUGUAGUUUGACUGGCUCGCGCCAGAGGGACGAAGGGGUUGCAAUAAAAUGGUGGCUGCGACUGUUUAAUAAAAACACAGCACUCUGCAA
rnacentral:rRNA from 1 species